rnacentral:sRNA from 1 species
UUUCUCGUAAGGCGUGUCAGGGGUUC